AAAAAGUUGUCAGAAAUCAACGCAAUUUUUGUGAUACUUCAAACUUUGUUAUACUAAAAUACCUUAUAAAACUGUAAAUCCAGAAAAGAUUCUUGCUAAAAACUCGAAAAUUUUGAUGAGAAAUUUUUUGAAAUUUGUGGAGGAAACAAUUAAGUACGAAAAAAUAGUCUAGACUGAGGCGCAUAUACAAGACAUCAGCAGUAAAGCAAAAAUAAUGGCGUGUCUUUUGUUGUUGCUUAAAACCUCUAAACCGGUUUAUUUACAUCAGAGGUCGACAAAAACUGAGAUUGUGUUGGUCAUGAACGGAAAAUCAACGCAGCCACUGCCCAUGUUAUUUCGUUGCCGUCUUACACACCCAUUCAAUGCUAAAUAUUUCCAUCGGAGUAAAUUUAGCUAUCAUACGCCUGUUUUGAAGCAAACCCGAGUGUUACAGGCAAAUUAAUAACGGCUUUCUGUCUCUGAAAAUAACUCUGCGUCCUACCAACAGUCGUUAAGCUAGACAUACCAAGCCUUCCUGUCGCUAUGACUUUCAGCGCUCAUUCAACUAACAAAUCUUAGAACUGAAUAAAGCGCUCUAGAGAACUAGUGUUAUUUUUUAUGUGGAAUGCAUUCUUAGUCGACUCGACAAACACGCAAUUAACACGAAUUUUUCGGUUCUUAUGUAUGUAGGCAUCAAUCAUCAACAGAAGUUUAAUAUACCUAUUUUUAUUUCAUUUUUAUUAAGUAUAAUAGGAUAAAAUAUUUGCCCUUUUGGUAGUACUCACAUUUUAAAAAUUCGUUCUUAAAAAUACUUUAGCAAGGAAAAAUUUUUGGGAUCAGGUGUAAAAAAAACCAUAAAUAAAAAAAUUCUCCAUUAGAAAAUAUAAAACCCAAUAAAUUAAAAAAUAUAGAAGGCGCUUAAAAAAUAAUACCAUUUCGUUUUAAAAGCAAUUGUUGCAAACUUCAACUUUGUGCUGCUUACUAAACCUUGUCUUUAUGCUCUCGACAUAUGCUUUUAUUGCCCUUCGCACACGCCAAAAACACAGCGUCACCUCUAACUCGAGAACAAAAUGUUGCUAAAAAGAAAGCUGAAAAUUACGUAAAUGUUAAUUAUUAGUCGAAUCGAUUAACGCAACUUACAAAAAAGCAACACUUUCUGCGAUGACAUCGGCAAGUGAGAAUUCGCCAUAUUUGAAACCGAUCGGCGAAGU